UUAUUUCCGCGUAGAACCUGUGGUGAGGUCGUCUGGCUAGGCAGCGUGACUAUUUUAAGCCACCGUGGUUAAACUAUGCUACUGAGGUCAGAAACCUACAUGUAGCAAUUUUAAAGUGAAUAAUUCUUACUGAAGAAAGAUGUCACCAACUGAACGGCAAAGGAUACUAACAUUGACCUGCAGAAGGUUUUGGUUUUUAUUCAGACACAGAAAUGUAGAAACACCCUGGGUUGGUCCUUAUUCUCAACUCAGAAGACUUUUGAAGACAAUGAGUCACACUUACUUCAGGGUCAACUGCUCUGCUUUAUAUCUAGGACAGGACUCUGCAAUACAGCAGGUGUGAAAUAAAUGCUUACUGAAGGAAAGAGCAAGAAGAAGCCAGCAGGGCCCAAAAACAAGUCAUCCACGUGUAUGGGAGCUCCCCACAUACCUGUAACAGCUCGUCACGGGAGAUCUUGUCAUCUUUAUCCAAGUCGUACAGUCGAAAAGCAACUGGUAGGAAAAAACAAGAAGUCAGUAGAAAUUCAGUAGUGUUUUGCCCCUUCUCAAGGAACUAAAUAUAUAAAGGACACCAGACAGAAAACUGACAAUGAAUGAAUAGUUUUUCCAAGAGCGACUGCCAUUAGUUGUAGAGCUUUUGAAAACACUGUAACAUUUAAGAAACUGAGAUGCAUCUUAGCUUCGAUGAAAUAUGGCCCUUCAUCAGACAAAUCAGAAAACUUAAUAAAAAGUCCAAUGUCCUCUUUAACUUAGAAUGUUAAAAAACAAAACAAAACAAAAAACCCAUUAAAUGGUUCUGUCCACUAGGCCAUCUCACACAGCCCAUCCAGUCUACUGUGCACCACACUUGAGGGAAGCUGACGGUGGGAGCCAUACAGGUUCUACACAAAGUAUGGACUGAACAGUUGAUACACAAAGUAUCGCUUUGGAAAAUGACUACUUCAGCAAAUUCAGGUCAAGUUUCAGAUAACCCUCUAGCAUUUGGGAGUCCUGAAGGUAAAGAACUUCAGUUUCAAAUAAAAAUGCCAAGAAUGUGAUGGUGUCCUGGCCUUAUCAUGUUUCUCUCUCUCUAACAACAAAGAAGUCUUUUAGAAACUAGGAUAUCUAAGAUAGAAAAUCACUCAGUGCCAUGUUGCUGAAGGGCUACCAACUGAAUAGUGUGAUAACAUGUUAUAAACACUGUGAGAAAUCAUACUGAGGAAGUGACUGCCCUGUAAUUACAGCUCAAUUUGGUGUAGUUUUGAAGCUCUGAAUGACUUCAAGUACACCACUAAGAUUUUUGGUUUCAGUAAGGUGCUGCCAGUACUGAAAGGCCCAAAUCCACUGCUCCAGAGUUAUUAAGAGACACAGAUUUAGAUCUGGUCCUGGGACCUUGGAACUCACAAUCUAGUAGAGAGCAACACACAGUACACAUUUUAAUUCAUUCUAAGUGCUAUCAUACUUAUGAAAUGCUGGGGAACAAAGUGUAUGGCUGAUGUGCCUUUCUGGUUCAAGUACUAUCUGAACAAGGUCUUGAAAGACAAACAGAAAUCUGAUGAAAAGUGGCAUUCCAGGCUAUAUGGUCAGGACACUUAAGAUGGCUGUCCUCUUGCUCUCAGUACAUCCCCUGCUCAACCAGUGCCUGCCUCACCUAACCUACUCACAUGACUGACCUUCCUAUACACUUGCCCCAAACUCCAGCUAGUGGCUGUUCUUAUCAAAGGAAGAGGCGUUUGAGGGGUGUGCCCCCCUGCUGGUUUCCCUGGUAACCAAUGAGCCAAUCUGACAUCAAUUCCCCCUAUAACUGCUAACCUCCCCUUCCCCUGGGAGCAAAGACUGCGCUGUGUCUCGCCCACCAUCCACUGCAUAUGGCUGAGAGUCGUUCCAGGACCUGGCUUUAGACAUGUAAGCUCCCCCAUACAUUAAACCACUGAUGUCUCAAUGCUGGAGAGGCUGUGGAGAAAAGGGAUCCCUUCUACACUGCUGGUGGGAAUGCAGUUUGGUGCAGCCACUGUGGAAAACAGGAUGGAGAUUCCUCAAAAGACUAGGAAUAGACUUACCAUAUGACCCAGGAAUCCCGCUCCUGGGCAUAUAUCCAGAAGGAACCCGACUUCAAAAAGACACCUGCACCCCAAUGUUCAGAGCAGCCCUAUUUACAAUAGCCAAGACAUGGAAACAGCCUAAAUGUUCAUCAACAGAUGACUGGAUAAAGAAGAUGUGGUAUAUUUAUACAAUGGAAUACUAUUCAGCCAUAAAACCUGACAACAUAACACCAUUUGCAGCAACAUGGAUGUUCAUGGAGAAUGUCAUUCUAAGUGAAGUAAGCCAGAAAGAGAAAGAAAAAUAGCUCAUAUGUGGAAUCAAAAAGAAAAAAAAAAAAGAACAUAAAUACAAAACAGAAGCAGACUCAAAGACAUAGAAUACAGACUUGUGGUUGCCAAGGGGGCGGGGGUGGGAAGGGACAGACUGUGAUUUCAAAAUGUAGACUAGAUAAACAAGAUUAUACUGUAUAGCAGAGGGAAAUAUAUACAAGAACUUGUGGUAGCUCACAGCGAAAAAAAAAUGUGACAAUGAAUAUUAUGUAUGUUCAUGUAUAACUGAAAAAUUGUGCUCUACACUGGAAUUUGACACAACAUUGUAAAAUGACUAUAACUCAGUAAAAAAAAAGUUUAAAAAACCCCCCAAAACCCAGCACUGAUGGUUCUAACUUCAAGACCAACUCUAAAUCCACUCCUUUAUUUGGGACCCCACUUGUCCUGAAUGGCAGUGAGAUAAUUUUCCAAGCUUGUUGGAAACAUACUGUCAAUAAAAAUGUCACUAGCAGGAGGGAAAAAAAAAAGAAAAGAAAAAAAAAAAACCCA